rnacentral:rRNA from 1 species
ACGUCGACGGUGACGCAGAGCUUGCUCUGUGGAUCAGUGGCGAACGGGUGAGUAACACGUGAGCAAUCUGCCCCUGACUCUGGGAUAAGCGCUGGAAACGGCGUCUAAUACCGGAUACGAGCUGCGAAGGCAUCUUCAGCAGCUGGAAAGAMUUUCGGUCAGGGAUGAGCUCGCGGCCUAUCAGCUUGUUGGUGAGGUAACGGCUCACCAAGGCGUCGACGGGUAGCCGGCCUGAGAGGGUGACCGGSCACACUGGGACUGAGACACGGCCCAGACUCCUACGGGAGGCAGCAGUBGGGAAUAUUGCACAAUGGGCGAAAGCCURAUGCAGCAACGCCGCGUGAGGGACGACGSCUUCGGGUUGUAAACCUCUUUUAGCAGGAAAGAVGCGAAAGUSACGGUACCUGCAGAAAAAGCGCCGGCUAACUACGUGCCAACAGCCGCGGUAAUACGURGGGCGCAAGCSUUAUCCGGMAUUAUUGGGCGUAAAGAGCUCGUAGGCGGUCUGUCGCGUCUGCUGUVAAAACCCGAGGCUCAACCUCGGGCCUCCAGUGGGUACGGGCAGACUAGAGUCCGGUAGGGGAGAUUGGMAUUCCUGGUGUAGCGGUGGAAUGCGCAGAUAUCAGGGGGGACACCGWUGGCGAGGGCAGAUCUCUGGGCCGUAACUSACGGUGAGGGGSCAAAGGGUGGGGGGGCAAACAGGBUUKGGAUACCCUGGUGGUCCACCCGUAAACGUUGGGGACUGDUUKUGGGGWCYUACMAAGDDUUCCSUAAGGRCUUAGMWWWAGRUUCCCCCCWDAGKGGAUMAACMSW